rnacentral:snoRNA from 1 species
GAACAGUGAUGAACACUUUUUAUCCCGAAUCUGAACCUUUUUUGCUGAGACAUCCUUACGGAUCUGACUACUGAGUU